rnacentral:lncRNA from 1 species
AUCAGGUGCUAUGACCAUCCUUUCGAAAUCGUUCGUUAAGUUUGUCUCUUCGACUCUUCGAAACCUCCGCCAAUUUUUGAAAUCUCCAUCGACACCACCUUUGUGAGUUUCUUCAGGCUUCUAGAAGUUUUACCUCCACAAGGGAUACAGGGCCACUCAAGUUCAAGGAACCGAUCCUUCACGCACUUUCGCAGAGGUAAUCGAUACUGAUAAACCCUAUAAGCUUUCCUUCUUUUGGGAAUUCAACCUUUCUGGUUUCUCACUCAUCAGAAAGUUUUUUUUGGUUCUUGUUUUGUUUGCUCUUAUUUUGGUUGUUUAAGGAAUAAUAAGGCAUCAGGUAAUACGACAUUAUUUUUAGGUCUUAUUAGUUUUCUGGGUCUUGUAUGUUCAUUCUUAUAUCGGUAGUGAAAUAUUAGAUCAUUUUAUUCUUUGUUGCUAUAUAACUUUAUUGUUGAAUUCCUAUUUCAUUUUAUUUAUUAAUUUUUGAGUGUUUCAAGUGCUAUUGGAUAAGAAGGGGUGACUUACCAACUAUCUAAUGAACUUUCUCUUCGCCAUGCCUUUUUAUUCUUGGUUGAAGAAGCUGGACACAAAUUAAAAAUAGUUCUUCACUUUGUAGUUUAUUAAUCUCCUUUCUUAUUAAGGAUAAAAUAAUACCAUCUAAAGUUUGAAAAUGAGGAGUCCAAUUUGGUAAAGUUAUUAUUAUUAUUAUUUUUUUGAAAUUUUGGUAAUUAAUGUGAAGUUUUAUAACAUCUUGGCCAAGUUUGAAAAGAAAGAGGCAAGUUGGUGAAGAUCUCUUGAUGUCCAUGAACUUCAAAAAAGAUGCUAUGAAGAAAAGAAUUAUGCAAGUUGGUAAAGAUCUUAUCUGCAUUUUGUUUGGUACGAGUUUUGAAUGUUCAUAAUGUCACAUAUACAUACACCAUAUUGAUCUUUAUUUCACACUUGACUGAUUGGUUGUAAUUUGGGUAGAGUGACAUCAGAUGUGCUUGCUUUUGCUUACUAUUUUUCGGCCUGCUAAAAUAUUUUCAUUGACCAAGAGGUCAACCAGGCAUUUAUAGCUGUAAUGUUCUCAAUUGUUUUAAUGCUUGAGAUUAGUUUGAGCGAAAGAAUUUCAAAGAUGUGAAACUGCUAUGUUAAACGUAUAUAGGAUUUCUGAGCUUUCACUGAUAUCAGUAAUUUAUAAUCAAAAUAUUUUCUUGUUUUUGUAUGGGGAGCAUCUUGAUGGUUAGGAUAUAUUAACUCUAUCAACUGUUUCACUAGCUUUCACUGUGUUUGCUUGCCUUAAGUCUGUUGUUUCUUUACUUGAAUUCUUGGCUGAAAUGUUAUGUUUAUAUAUUUUUUGUGUGCAGGUUAGAUCAUUUUAUAGCUGAGUAUUGUAAAUUCUACCUAGCUUACCUAGUACCUACACCCUCC